rnacentral:rRNA from 1 species
AACGUAGGACACAAGCGUUAUCCGGAGUUACUGGGCGUAAAGGGCGUGUAGGCGGAUCGGUAAGUCUACUCUGAAAGCUCCUGGCUAAACUGGGAGGGGCGAGUGGAGACUGUCGGUCUAGAGUGAGGAAGAGGAAAGUGGAAUUCCGCGUGUAGUGGUGAAAUGCGUAGAGAUGCGGAGGAACACCAGUGGCGAAAGCGGCUUUCUGGUCCUUAACUGACGCUGAGGCGCGAAAGCAUGGGGAGCGAACGGG